UCCCUGGUAGCUCAGAUGGUAAAGAAUCUGCCUGCACUGCAGAAGACCUGGGUUCGAUCCCUAGGUAGGGAA
rnacentral:tRNA from 1 species